rnacentral:rRNA from 1 species
UACGUAGGGACCAAGCGUUGUUCGGAUUUACUGGGCGUAAAGGGCGCGUAGGCGGCAUAUUAAGUCAGCUGUGAAAUCUCUGAGCUUAACUCAGAACGGCCAAGUGAUACUGCAGUGCUAGAGUGCAGAAGGGGCAAUCGGAAUUCUUGGUGUAGCGGUGAAAUGCGUAGAUAUCAAGAGGAACACCUGAGGUGAAGACGGGUUGCUGGGCUGACACUGACGCUGAGGCGCGAAAGCCAGGGGAGCAAACGGG